AAUAAGAUGCCUGAUUAAAGGAUUAUCUUGAUGUGAUAAAAAAAGUACUAUUUAUACUCUUAUUA
rnacentral:tRNA from 1 species